AACAGGGCACUGGGGGGACUGGAGCAUACUGGGGAGGUUGGAGCAUCUGGGGUGGAACUGGAGCAUCCCAGGGGGCUUGGAGCCUCCUGGCCUGAGAUGGAGCCCCCCAACCCCAGAGGGUGGUUUUGGGGGUGUAAAUCUCAGCUGAAGUCACCUGCUCUCCAGCAGGGCCGUGACAGGGCCUGGGAGUGACCUGGGGUCCCCUUGCACCCCCAAACCUUCCCUGGUGAUGUUGCACCUCCUUGGGGACCCCCCCCCACUUCAGAGCGUCCCCCAGGACACCUGACACGAGGCACCCACCGACCCGCCGCGGGGAGAUCGACGUAUGAAAUUUAUUUAGGAAAACCAAACCCACCAAAAAAAAAAAUUAAUAAUAAUAAUAAAGAGGGAGGAGAAGGAGAAGGAGAAGGAGAAGGAGAAGGAGAAGGAGAAGGAGAAGGAGAAGGAGAAGGAGAAGGAGAAGGAGAAGGAGAAGGAGAAGGAGAAGGAGAAGGAGAAGGAGAAGGAAGGAAGAGAAAGGAGAAAGAAGGAGAAAGAGGAGGAGAAGGAUGAGAAGAAGGAGGAGAAGAGGAGGAAGAAAGAGAAGAAAAAGAAGAAGAAGAAGAAGAAAAUGAAGAAGAGGAGGAGGAAAGAGAAGAAAAAGAAGAAGAAAGAAGAGGGACAAGAAGAGAAGAAGAAGAGGAGGAGAAGAAGGAGAAGAACAAAAAAAAAGAAGAGGAACAAGAAGAAGAGGAGGAGGAAUAAGGAGAAGAAGAAAAAGUUGAAGACAGAAGAAGAACAAGGAGAAGAAGAAGAGGAGGAGGAGGAGGAAGAAAGAGAAGAAAGAAGAGGAACAAGAAGAAUAAGAAGAGGAGGAGGAGGAGAAAGAAAGAGAAGCAAGAAGAGGAACAAGAAGGAGAAGAAGAAGAAGAGGAGGAAGAAAGAGAAGAAGAAAGAAGAGGAACAAGAAAGAGAAGAAGAAAGAAGAGGAACAAGAAGGAGAAGAAGAAGAAGAGGAGGAGGAAGAAGGAGGAGGAGAGGAACAAGAAGGAGAAGAAGAAGAAGAGGAGGAGGAAGAAAGAGAAGAAGAAAGAAGAGGAACAAGAAGGAGAAGAAGAAAAACAAGGAGAGGAAGAAGGAGGAGGAGGAGAGGAACAAGAAGGAGAAGACUCGUCUCCUCCUCAGGCUCCGUUGGAGCCCAGAACAACCAGCGCGGCGAGAGGGGAGUGGGACAGAGAAGCCAGAGGAGGCUUUGCACGCCCGCGCACGCCCGUGCACACUCGUGUGCAAGCCGGGCUGGGUGCCGGCCGCGCUGCCCAGUCUCCCCUCGGGGUAUGUACAGGGGUGGGAGCCAGGAAAGCAUCGACCACCUACGCACACCAGCGGCGGGGGCUGGAAAAGUGGGGUACAGCUGGGACACGGGGGGUACCCAGGAUGUGGCAGGCCCCCACCCGGCUCCAUCGGCACCAACGAGACCCCCCCACACCCCCCCACCAAUCCCCAGGGCACCCCCUGGAUUGUCACUGGGCUGGGAGCGGUGGUGCCCGUUGGCACGGUGGUGGCAUCACGCCGGGGAUGGAGCCACCUUCCUCCUCUUGCAGUUUGGGGGGGUUCGCUGCCUUCGGGGACCGUCCCUGCCCCACCCUGGGGUGUGGGGAGAUGGGCUUGA
rnacentral:lncRNA from 1 species